rnacentral:lncRNA from 1 species
GGGAGAGGGAAUCCAGCUACCACCACCCAAAGCCAGCGUCUGCUUUCUGUCCUCAUUUCCUUUUCCCACCCAGCUCGGAGAGCAGAGAAAGGCAGAGAGAGCGAGAAAUAGAGACAGGCAGGCAAACAGACAGACAGACAGAACGGGAGGGAGGAGGGCGGCGGAGGAGGAACAGGAGGACUACGCGGGGCGCGUUCCCUCCCAGAUGGGAGCUUGCCUGAUUGUCUACCCAUCAACCUGGACCCCAGAGCCUGCCCAGCUGAGUGUGUGCAGAGGGUCCCAGGUGAGGGGCGCUGCUCAGGCCUCUGCAGAGACCACCCUGGAGACACUGACAGAGAGAGGCCUUUCCUACUGAGCCUGGCCUCUCUGCACAGCCUGUUCAGAAAGAAGAACUGAGGCUCAUGGAUAUACACUAAGCCCCCCUCCCCCAAUCCUGCCACCUAGCCUGAGGACUCUUCCCUGCACCUUGAUAACCUGAGAGAACUGGGAGGAGAAAGGGGUUGUGACAAUGACCAGGACUCAGGGCAGAGGUGGAAACAAGUGUGCCUGAUGUAUGCAGCUGAUCCCCCAGGACAUCUCUCUACUGGAGUCUGGAAGCAGAGAGCUGGGAGGCCAAG